rnacentral:ncRNA from 1 species
AGAAAAACGAAGAUAGGGAGCAGUACUUUUUUCGGCCCUUAUAUAGCGAACUGAGGAUGGUGGAAGCUCAGGAUAAGGAGAAGAAAGGAAUAUCACCCUUGAGUUCCACGCUGAACGAUUGAAGUAAGCGCUGGCGUGUAUUCGCGUUAAGAAUGUAAAGAGGAUUAUAUAUACAUAUAGUCUACAAGGGUGGUACCGCGGGAAACCUUCUCGUCCCUUUU